UUUGAUAUGGGGAGGAUAAGAUCUAAGAUGGAGUUCAAAGAAUAAAGUAAAAGCCUUGCUCUAACACUAGUUGGAUCAGCAAACACGGUUUGGUUUAUCAAACCAAAUACUAGUUAGAGCAAGUAAGAAAUUGAUGUGGGGAGGAUACGAUCUGAGAUUGAGUUCAGAGAAUGAAGCAGAAGCCUUGCUCUUACACUAGUUGGAUCAGAAAAAAUGGCUUGAUAAACCAAACCAAGUACUAGUUAGAGGAAGUAAGAGUUUGAUAUGGGGAGGAUAACAUCUAAGAUGGAGUUCAGAGAAUGAAGCAAAACCUUGUUCUCACACUUGUACGAUCAGAAAACAAAGUUUGGUUUAUCAAACCAUGUACUAGUUAGAGCAAGUAAGAGUUUGAUUUGGGGAGGGUAAGAUCUAAGAUGGAGUUCAGAGAAAUGAAACAGAAGCCUUGCUCUUACACUAGUUGGAUCACAAAACAUUGUCUGGUUUAUCAAAUCAAGUGCUAGUUGAAACAAAUGAGAGUUUGACAUUGGGAGAAUAAGAUCUGAGAUGGAUUUCAAAGAAUGAAGUAAAAGCCUUGCAUUUACACUAGUUGGAUCAAGAAACAAGGUUUUGGUUAAUCAAAUCAAGUACUAGUUAGAGCAAGUAAGAGUUUGAUAUGGGGAGGAUAAGAUCUAAGAUGGAUUUCAAAGAUUGAAGUAAAUUCCUGCUCUUACACUAGUUGGAUCACGAAACAUGGUUUGGUUUAUCAAAUCAAGUACUAGUUAGAGCAAGUAAGAGUUUGACAUCGGGAGGAUAAGAUCAUAGAUGGAGUUCAUAGAAUGAAGCAAAAGCCUUGCUCUUACACUAGUUGGAUCAGAAAAAAGGUUUGAUAAACCAAACCAUGUACUAGUUAGAGGAAGUACGAGUUUGAUAUGGGGAGGAUAAGAUCGAAGAUUGCAUGAGUUCAUAGAAUGAAGCAAAACCUUGGUCUAGCACUGGUUGGAUCAGGAAACAUGGUUUGGUUUAUCAAAUUAAGUACUAGUCAGAGCAAGUAAGAGUUUGAUAUGGGGAGGAUAAGAUCUAAGAUGGAGUUCAAAGAAUGAAGUAAAAAUCUUGCUCUUACACUAGUUGGAUCGUGAAACAAGGUUUGGUUUUUUAAACCAAGUACUAGUUCCAAUUAAGAGCGUAUAUGGGGAGGAUAAGAUCUAAGAUGGAGUUAAAAAAAUAGAGCAGAAGUCUUGCUCUUACACUAGUUGGAUCACAAAAAAGUUUGAUAAACCAAACCAAGUACUAGUUGAAGGAAGUAAUAGUUUGAUAUGGGGCGGAUAAGAUCUAAGAUGGAGUUCAAAGAAUGAAGUAAAAGCCUUGCACUUACAUUAGUUGGAUCAAGAAACAGGGUUUGGUUUAUCAAACCAAGUAUUAGUUAGAGCAAGUAAGAGUUUGACAUGGGGAGGAUAAGAUCUAAGAUGGAGUUCAGAUAGAAGCAAAACCUUACUCUUACACUAGUUGGAUCAGAAAACAUUGUUUGGUUUAUCAAACCAAGUACUAGUUAGAUUAAGUAAGAGUUUGAUAUGAGGAGGAUAAGAUCUAAGAUGGAGUUCAGAGAAUGAAGCAAAACUGUAUUUACACUAGUUGGAUCAGAAAAAAAGGUUUGAUAAACCAAACCAAGUACUAGUUAGAGGAAGUAAGAGUUUGAUAUGAGGAAGAUAAGAUCUAAGAUGGAGUUCAGAUGGAAGCAAAACCUUGCUCUUACACUAGUUGUAUCAAGAAACAAAAUUUGGUUUAUCAAACCAAGUACUAGUUAGAGCAAGUUAGAGUUUGAUAUGAGGAGGAUAAGAUCUAAGAUGGAGUUCAGAGAAUGAAGCAAAACCUUGCUCUCACACUAGUUCGAUCAGAAAACAAGAUUUGAUCAACGAAACAAAAUACUAGUUUGAGCAAGUACGAAAUUGAUGUGGGGAGGAUAAGAUCUAAGAUUGAGUUCAGAUAAUGAAGCAGAAGCCCUGCUCUUUCACUAGUUGUAUCAGCAAACAUGGUUUGGUUUUAUCAAGCAGAGUACUUGUAAGAGGAAGUAAGAGUUUGAUAUGGGGAGGAUAAGAUCUAAGAUGGAUUUCAAAGAUUGAAGUAAAAUCCUUGCUCUUACACUAGUUGUAUCAGCAAACAUGGUUUGGUUUAUCAAACAAAAUACUAGUUAGAGCAAGUAAGAGUUUGAUAUGGGGAAGAUAAGAUCGGAGAUGGAGUUCAGAGAAUGAAACAGAAGCCUUGCUCUUACACUAGUUGGAUCGCGAAACAUGGUUUGGUUUAUCAAACCAAGUACUAGUAAGAGUAAGUAAGAGUUUGAUAUUUGGAGGAUAAGAUCUAAGAUGGAGUUCAAAGCAUGAAGUAAAAAUCUUGCUCUUACACUAGUUGGAUCGUGAAACAAGGUUUGGUUUAUCAAACCAAGUACUAGUUAGAGCAAGUAAGAGUUUGAUAUGGGGAGGAUAAGAUCUAAGAUGGAGUUCAAAAAAUAGUGCAGAAGUCUUGCUCUUACACUAGUUGGAUCAGAAAAAUGGUUUGAUAAACCAAACCAAGUACUAGUUAGAGCAAGUAAGAGUUUAAUAUGGGGAGGAUAAAAUCUAAGAUGGAGUUCAGAGAAUGAAGUAGAAGCCUUGCUCUUACACUAGUUGGAUCAGGAAACAAGGUUUGAUAAACCAAACCAAGUACUAGUUAGAGCAAGUAAUAGUUUGAUAUGGGGAGGAUAAGAUCUAAGAUGGAGUUCAAAGAAUGAAGCAGAAGCCUUUCUCUUACACUAGUUGGAUCAGCAAACAUGGUUUGGUUGAUCAAAUCAAGUACUAGUUAGAGCAAGUAAGAGUUUGAUAUGGGGAGGAUCAGAUCUAAGAUUGAGUUCAAAGAAUAAAGUAAAAAACUUGCUCUUACACCAGUUGGAUCAUGAAACAAGGUUUGAUUUAUCAAACUUAGUACUAGUUCGAGCAAGUAAGAGCGUAUAUGGGGAGGAUAACAUCUAAGAUGGAGUUCAAAAAAUAGAGCAGAAGUCUUGCUCUUACACCAGUUGGAUCACAAAAAAGUUUGAGAAACCAAACCAAGUACUAGUUAGAGGAAGUAAGAGUUUGAUAUGGGGAGGAUAAGAUCUAAGAUGGAGUUCA
rnacentral:lncRNA from 1 species